rnacentral:lncRNA from 1 species
AUACUUUGCAUCUGUUAACCCCAAGUUCCCAAUCCACCCCACUCUCUCCCCCUCUCCCUUGGCAACCACAAGUCUGUUCUCCAAGUCCAUGAGUUUCUUUUCUGUGGAAAGGUUCAUUUGUGCCAUAUAUUAGAUUCCACAUAGAAGUGAUAUCAUAUGGUAUUUGUCCUUCUCUUUCUGACUGACUUAACUUAGUAUGAGAGUCUCUAGUUCCAUCCAUGUUGCUGCAAAUGACAUUAUUUUGUUCUUUUUUAUGGCUGAGUGGUAUCCCAUUGCAUAUAUAUACCACAUCUUCUUAAUCCAUUCAUCUGUCAAUGGACAUGAAGGUUGUUUCCAUGUCUUGGCUAUUGUGAGUAGUGCUGCAAUGAACGUACAGAUGCAUGUCUCUUUUUCAAGGAAAGUUUUAUCUGGAUGGAUAUAUGCCCAAGAGUGGGCUUGCUGGGUCAUGUGGUAGUUCUCUAUUUAGUUUUCUGAGGUUCCUCUAUACUGUUUUCCAUAGUGGUUGUAUCAAUUUACAUUCCCACCAACAUGUAGGAGGAUUCCUUUUUCUCCACACCCUCUCUAGCACUUGUUAUUUGUGGGCUUGUUCAUGAUGGCCCUUCUGACAGGUAUGAGGUGGUAUCUCAUAGUAGUAUUGAUUUUCGUUUCUCUAAUCAUCAGUGAUGUUGAUCAUUUUUUCAUGUCCUUGUUGCCCAUCUGUAUAUCUUCUUUGGAGAAAUGUUUAUUCCCGUCUUUUGCCCAUUUUUCAAUUGAGGUGUUGGCUUUCUUGCUGUUGAGUUGUAUAAACUGUUCGUAUAUUUUAGAGAUUAAGCCACUGUCAGUUGCGUUGUUUGAAACUAUAUUUUCUGUUCCAUAGAUUGCCUUUUUUUUUUUUAAUGUUUUCCUUUGCUGUGUAAAAACUUGUCAGUUUAAGUCCCAUUGGUUUAUUUUUUGCUUUUAUUUGUGUUGCCUUGGGAGACUGACCUGAGAAAACAUUUGUAAGGGUGAUGUUAGAGAAGGUUUUGCCUAUGUUCUCUUCUAGGAGUUUGAUGGUGUUAUUGUCUUAUGUUUAAGCCUUUAAGCCAUUUUGAGUUUAUUUUUGUGCACAGUGUGAGGGUGUGUUCCAGUUUCCUUGAUUUACAUGUGGCUGUCCAGUUUUCUCAGUACCA